GCGUUCUGUCAGACUAGUUGAUUGUUGAAGAAAAAGUUCACGGACCUCUUUUUUAAAAAAAGGGGGAGAGAAGAAUAACAAUAGCCACAACAAGGCGACAAGGUUGUUGUCUUUCUGUUUUGUUUUCCCCAGUCACCGUGUCAAAGUAAAAUUCCCCCCAAUUCGUUAUGCUCCACCAGCGGUCACAAAAAGGAAAAGAAGUAGCAAUUUAAAAAACCAGCGGCGAACAUAACGGACCUAUUGAUGAAACAAACGAGAAAUGAUGACGCUGAACACAUUCGUCCGUCACGGAUAGCACCUAGAGCCAGAGCUCGCAACGGUCGUCCGGCAGUUCCGCCUUCAAUAAACGGAUGUAGGGCUAUGGAGUUGUUCAGUUUCCGCCGGAAUCGACUCGUCUCCGUGUCAGCGGAAAGCGGAGACAUUAAUAGGCGUCCUUGGGACUUGGGGCGAGCAAAUAGAAGAUGAAAGUCGACAAAAUGGGAAGGUUCAGUAUGCACCAGAGCACAGGGAGCCCCCGCCGAAAUCAACUGUCGCUUUUCAUUUCCCAGGUGCGGAAGUGAUCCGUAACGAGGAGCGACACCUUUUUCCACCGUCCAAUCAGAUAUCGGAGCAUUCAAUCAUCGAAAUAUCACCCGAAAAUGAUUGAAUUCAAACGCGUUCGUUGACUCUCUGGUCAAAAAAAAAAAAGAAACUCAAU